rnacentral:rRNA from 1 species
GACGGAGGAUGCAAGUGUUAUCCGGAAUCACUGGGCGUAAAGCGUCUGUAGGUGGUUUAAUAAGUCAACUGUUAAAUCUUGAGGCUCAACCUCAAAAUCGCAGUCGAAACUAUUAGGCUAGAGUAUAGUAGGGUAAGGGAAUUUCCAGUGGAGCGGUGAAUGCGUAGAGAUUGGAAAGAACACCGAUGGCGAAGGCACUUUACUGGCUAUUACUAACACUCAGAGACG